CAUGCUAGUCGCACGAGUUCAGACUCGUGGCGAAUAGCUCAGUAACACGUGGCCAAACUACCCUUCGGAACACAAUACCCUCGGGAAACUGAGGCUAAUAGUGUAUACCACAGUCCACCUGGAAUGAGGACUGUGCCAAACGCUCCGGCACCGAAGGAUGUGGCUGCGGCCGAUUAGGUAGACGGUGGGGUAACGGCCCACCGUGCCAAUAAUCGGUACGGGUCAUGAGAGUGAGAACCCGGAGACGGAAUCUGAGACAAGAUUCCGGGCCCUACGGGGCGCAGCAGGCGCGAAACCUUUACACUGCACGACAGUGCGAUAAGGGAAUCCCAAGUGCGUAGGCAUAGAGCCUACGCUUUUGUCCACCGUAGGGAGGUGGACGAAUAAGGGCUGGGCAAGACCGGUGCCAGCCGCCGCGGUAAUACCGGCAGCCCGAGUGAUGGCCGAUCUUAUUGGGCCUAAAGCGUCCGUAGCUGGCCGCACAAGUCCAUCGGAAAAUCCACCCGCUCAACGGGUGGGCGUCCGGUGGAAACUGUGUGGCUUGGGACCGGAAGGCGCGACGGGUACGUCCGGGGUAGGAGUGAAAUCCUGUAAUCCUGGACGGACCGCCGAUGGCGAAAGCACGUCGCGAGAACGGAUCCGACAGUGAGGGACGAAAGCUAGGGUCUCGAACCGGAUUAGAUACCCGGGUAGUCCUAGCCGUAAACAAUGCCUGCUAGGUGUGGCUCCCACUACGAGUGGGUGCUGUGCCGUAGGGAAGCUGCUAAGCAGGCCGCCUGGGAAGUACGUCCGCAAGGAUGAAACUUAA
rnacentral:rRNA from 1 species